rnacentral:lncRNA from 12 species
AAGCACUUUAAUUUUUUUUUUUUUUAAGUUUUCCCUAACAUAUGGGGAAGGGAGAAACAGCUCCCCCGGGGCCACCUAGAGAGUCCAGUUUUCUUUUUAUUACUCUAUGCAAAGAUUCUCAGACAAUCUUGGUUGUAAAGCGUGUAUCUUUAUAUUCUUUUUCCUUUCAUUUUGUAUAACCACAGGGAGAACAACCUGGGAAGUAAAUGUUCUUUUGCCAUGCUUUAUCCAGAGUGCUUGGUUUGUACGAGUGUCUGCAAGCUGACUCCUGGAAACGGAGAAUCACCUGCUGCCCCAAACAAAAUCCAGCAUCCCCCAGGACUGGGCAACUGCCAGAAUCUCUGUUCUGCAGCACAGCAUUUGGACAAAGACUCAAAAAUGUACCAAUUGCUAAGGUUUCCUCUCUGCAUUGGACCUUCCUGAUACCAGACCUUGCAAAUUCCAGCUGACUCAGCAUACCCAAAUGGUGCUCUGUAAGAACACUGGGCCUCACUUUCCUGUGCUGUAGGUAAGAAAGUUCAGGAAACUGAAUGCUGAGUUCACUGCAUUAUUUCCUUUCUUUCAAGGACCACAGCCCUGCACUUGCCCGACUCCAAAAAGUAGUCACUUUAUAUGUUUUGUCCAUUUCUUACUUUUUGUAUGGGUUAGGGGAGGGCAGAUCCAAUAUCCAUUAUUCCUCCGUGGCUAGAAUUAGAAAUCACUUUGUUUUGAAUCAUUUAAAAAACUAAUAAAUUAUCUGAAAGCAUUUAAACA